AUGGAACUUGAGGGUGUCAUGCUAAGUCAAAAGCAGUGAAAGUGCCUUAACUCAUAAAAGGAAGCAAAUGGAAAUGCAAUCAGAGAAAACAUAUUCGGAGCCUUUGAAGAAAUGAGGGGCUUGACACUUCAAGGAAGAAGACAGGGUUACAACAUGACCUUGGAUGCUCUGUAAUAAUAUGGCCUCUAAUCUCUGCAGUCCAGAAACACUGACCUUGUUUUAAUUCUUUGAAAACUCCAGGAUGGUAGAGAGUAGGUUUUAUUUACUGUUUUGUUGUUAGUGCCUAG